GACGAACGCUGACGGCGUGCUUAACACAUGCAAGUCGAAGGGAGUGGCGAACGGGUGAGUAACACGUGAGUAAACUGCCCUUUUCUUUGGGAUAAGCCUGGGAAACUGGGUCUAAUACUGGAUGGAUUAGGAUGUGCUCGAGGCUUAUCAGCUUGGUGGUGGGGUGAUGGCUUAACAAGGCUUUGACGGGUAGCCGGCAUGAGAUGGUUGUCGGUCACACUGGGACUGAGAUACCGCCCAGACGCCGACGUGAGGAAUGAGUGGGGUAUAUUGAACAAUGGACGAAAGUCUGAUGCAGCGACGUCGUGUGGGGGAUGAAGGCCUUCCGGUUGUAAACUCCUUUCGCCAGCGGAAUGGUAGUGGGUAAAGAAGCACCGGCUAACUCCGUGCCAGCCGCCGCGGUAAUAC
rnacentral:rRNA from 1 species